rnacentral:lncRNA from 10 species
CACUCUUGCCAGUAAGUUACAUCGAAGCAGCUAUAUGGUAGAAUUGAUUAUGUAACACAAAACCCAUGGUAUCCAUUGCUCCUUAGAGUAGAAUUUAAAUCUUUACCUGGGCUCACAAGGUCCUGCCUCAAGUCCAGUCUCAGUUCAUCCUUUGGACUUCUUCUGGAAGAUUCCUCCGUAUCAGCCUGCCUUCUGGUCUUGACAUUUCCCUUUCUUACCUCGGGGCUUGUGCACCUGCCGUUGCCUCUCCUGGAAAGCUCUUCCCCAGGGCUUCACGUAACUGCCUUUGAAUCAUGAAAAUGGUAGUCUUUUCAACAAGUGACACUUGAACAAUUGGAUAUCGGCAGGAACGAUCUGCGUAGGGUGAUUUUUCACACCACUGUAUCCCUAGUACCUAGACCGUCCACAUGGAACAGAUGUGAUCACCAAGUUUUAGAAGAAACUUGCAAGCCCAUCGUCCAACACUUAACAUCUUUAUAGAUGGGGAAAUCCAAAGACGACAACUCAGCCCUGUCCCUCGUUGCAUGGUGUUUGGUGGAUGACUUGGCAUGAAGCAUCAUAUCUACAAGAAAAACAAGUCAAAGGCUGAUGCCUCUGAUGGGGAAAUCACCACUCUCUCAGUGGGCAGCCACAGGAAAUGGGUACCUGUCUAUACUGGGGCCACAGGAUUAUGGGGCAAUAUCCCACAUGCCAGAGCAUAACAUAGAGGCUCAUUAAGGACAGAUAUUUGGGAGUGUAUAUUUAUCAAAAAUUCAGAUGGGUGAAUGGCCAUCACAAAUGGGAGAGAGAACUGUUAGCCAACGGGUGACUCAGGGGCUGAGUGUGCACCCCUGUUAUGAAAACUGAUUGUUAAAAAAAAAAAAAAAGUUGUUUGCACUCAUCACAGAUAUCAACAUUUGAAGGCACUGGCUGAUUCCAACUUAUGGCAUAAAUGACUAUUCAAUCGCAAUUGGAAUAGCUUAGACAAAUUAUCUGUGAUUAAAGCAGGCCAAUUUCUCAAAAUAAAAGUCCAACCUGGAGCACAAAUGAGCCUAAGCGCUUGGUCCUUGGAAUAGUGACUUUUCUCUCUUGCAAAGCUUGGUCUCUAACCAAAUAAGUAUUUACCUAUACAUUUAGAGUUCAGAUCAAUAGGAGGAAGAUGAAAUAGCCAAGACUGCUUUUGUUGCACAUGACAAUGACAUAACUCAUCUUGUUUAAGAAUGAAAGGAGGCCGGGUGCGGUGGCUCACGCCUGCAAUCUAAACACUUUGGGAGGCUGAGGCAGGCGGAUCAUGAGGUCAGGAGAUCGAGACCUUCCUGGCUAACAUGGUGAAACCCCAUCUCUACUAAAAAUACAAAAAAUUAGCCCGGCGAGGUGGCAGACGCCUGUAGUCCCAGCUACUCGGGAGGCUGAGGCAGGAGAAUGGCGUGAACCUGAGAGGCGGAGCUUGCAGUGAGCCGAGAUCAUGCCACUGCACUCCAGCCUGGGCAACAGAGCGAGACUCCAACUCAAAAAAAAAAAAAAAAGAAUGAAAGGGAACUUAGCACUUGUAACUGAAGCAUCCAAGUUUACUGCUGACUUCAGGCAUGCUGGAUCCAGGCGGCGAGAAGCGUUAUCAAGAAUGUGUCAUUCUCUAUUUCUUGGCUCUGCUUUCCUCUAUAUUGCCAUUACUUUCAAGUAGGCUGUCUCCAUGUGAAUGGCAAAGCAAUCAUCUGUAGCUUCAGGCCUAGAUGGUCCCCACAACUGGUGGCUCCAAAAGAAACCAAAAGAAACACACACACACACACACACACACACAUACACACACACACACACACACACACACACACCCCUUUUUCCCAAUAGCUCUCACGAAAGUCCCAGGCAAGAAUCUCUCUGGCUAUACUUGGAACACAUACCCAACCCAGAACCCAUUCUCCUUGUUGGCCAUUUUGUGCAUAUCCAGGUGAUCACCAUGACCAGCCAUGCUGCCAUAAGGAUUCUUUUCAAGUCUCUUUAGGCAUCCACAUAAGGGGUACUGUGGAGUAUAGAGAUGACUAUUUCUUUGAAUACUGUGAUAGAUGCAAUAGUAGACUUGCAUUCAAGGUACCAUAGUACAGUAUAAGAAAAAAUAUAUAUGCCUUUGUAAACUGUGCUUACUCGCUCAGGAGCAGGGGGACGCCCCCUUCUUAAGGGAAGAGCCGGCAUCACACGCCCUCCCAGCUCAAGCUUCCCCUGCGACCUGCACGUGUGUGAAUUGGCAGGCCCCACUAAUAUUGGUAUUUCCCUCUCAUUCCUACUAUUACCCCUGCCAAGCUUGGGAUGGCAGAGUUGGAGUCAUAUCCAUUCUAGGAGCCUAAAGAUGUGACUCCUCUGCAUUGAUGAGAGACACGGAAGAGGGAAAAGCAAGGAAAGACUUUAGUGAGCUCUGAAGUCCCACCUGCCACUCCACUAAAUGCCAGAAUCAUCUGGCCUCACUUAGUGGGUGGAGCAAAUUCCUGCCCCCCAGGGCCUCCCUCCUGAACCUGCAAGGUUGGUGGGAGAGGGAGACCCUCCCCAAAAGAGGAAGCCUGUUGUGUUGAGAGUGAUUUCAGAGACCUCAGCCAGGAAAGGUAAAUCAAAAUAACCCUUACACUCCGCCUCCUUCUUCCUUUAGAGGGGAAUGUUUCCUGGCACGGGUGCUGCAGCUUAAUAAAUUGCAUGCAGUAGAUUUCAGGCCUUGAGAAAAUCUUAACACUAGCUAAUAUGACCAGCACUAACAAAAUUUCUUGGAGCUUAUAAUAACAAAAAAAGCUCAUUGACGGAUUCCCACUUUUAUUCCUGCCCCCCUUUUCCACUUAGCCUUAAAUUUUUUUUAAUAAGAAAUUUUUAUUAACAAAAACAACAACAAAAAAAAAACAGAGUGAAGCACUUCACAAGAUCUUGCCCAGUUUAUUUUUUUAAUCUGUAAUAAUGAGCAUAACAGUUCAGCAAUGGAAUACUCACUCCAACAAAAUCUCCAGAUCUUUACAUCCUGAGUCUGCGAGGGCUGGACACAUGCCCUUGCUAAUUAUCAACCUUCUGAAACAGCUCAAGACAUGGGAUUAAAAACUGCUGUGGAAUUUGAACUCACGGACAUUCAUCUGAGUCAGCUACUCUGAACUCGCAUCUACUAUAAGGACCUGAGCAUUUCCUUCUCCCGUUUCCUCAGGACCUGCUCGGGGGUGUUCAGGGGAAGGUUGUCACAAACAUACUUGCAAUAAAAAUAAUCAAACAAAUGGAGAGCAUGUCUAUUUCCGGAAUUAGAUUCUUUUGAUAGUGAAGGAAUCAAAUGGGAUAAGGGGCAGGGAGAAGUCAGGUAAGUCCAAUAUUACUAUGUCCACAUGCUUAAAUUUCACUCCUCGGGGGCUUAUUGUCCCUAACAAUGGCCCUUUUAGCUAUGGAAUACGGGGAAUGACUAACCUUUUUCUAGCCUGUCAGUGAGAACUACCACUAUAUAUUGGUAAGUAUUUCCGUACAAAAUUCACUUGGAAAGGAUAUUGUUUCAAGCCUGGACAAAGCUCAUAUUGUCAUGUUCCAGUUCCAGUUAUUUUAGGCAAGGAAGGGGAAUUUCCACUGCUCCCUACAAUCAGUUUUGAGCACUUAGCUCUGAGUAAUAACUUCCUUGUAAUCUGUCAGAGCC